rnacentral:tRNA from 1 species
UGUGAGGUAGCUUAAUGGUAAAGCGCUGAUCUGAUACAUCAGCAGAUAAAGGUUCGAAUCCUUUCUUCACAA